UGGGGAAUUUUGGACAAUGGGGGCAACCCUGAUCCAGCAAUGCCGCGUGUGUGAAGAAGGCCUUCGGGUUGUAAAGCACUUUUGUCCGGGAAGAAAUCCUUUUCGAGAAUACCGAAGGGGGAUGACGGUACCGGAAGAAUAAGCACCGGCUAACUACGUGCCAGCAGCCGCGGUAAUACGUAGGGUGCGAGCGUUAAUCGGAAUUACUGGGCGGAAAGCGUGCGCAGGCGGUGAUGUAAGACCGAUGUGAAAUCCCCGGGCUUAACCUGGGAACUGCGUUGGUGACUGCAUUGCUGGAGUAUGGCAGAGGGGGGUAGAAUUCCACGUGUAGCAAUGAAAUGCGUAGAGGUGUGGAGGAAUACCGAUGGCGAAGGCAGCCCCCUGGGCCAAUACUGACGCUCAUGCACGAAUGCGUGGGGAGCAAACAGG
rnacentral:rRNA from 1 species